rnacentral:rRNA from 1 species
AACGAACGCUGGCGGCAUGCCUAACACAUGCCUGUCGAACGAUGGUCUUCGGAUCAUAGUGGCGCACGGGUGCGUAACGCGUGGGAAUCUGCCCUUGGGUUCGGAAUAACAGUUGGAAACGACUGCUAAUACCGGAUGAUGUCGAUAAGACCAAAGAUUUAUCGCCCGAGGAUGAGCCCGCGUCGGAUUAGCUAGUUGGUGGGGUAAAGGCCUACCAAGGCGACGAUCCGUAGCUGGUCUGAGAGGAUGAUCAGCCACACUGGGACUGAGACACGGCCCAGACUCCUACGGGAGGCAGCAGUGGGGAAUAUUGGACAAUGGGCGCAAGCCUGAUCCAGCAAUGCCGCGUGAGUGAUGAAGGCCUUAGGGUUGUAAAGCUCUUUUACCCGGGAAGAUAAUGACUGUACCGGGAGAAUAAGCCCCGGCUAACUCCGUG